GUCGGACGCUUAACCGACUGCGCCACCCAGGUGCCCCAAAGUUGUUCAUUUUUAAUCUGCUCAGUCUGUAUAAAUGUGGGCACAAGGUUACUCUGUGAGCCUCAGGGAUUCGUGUCUUCUCUUAUUGGCGGAAAAUCAUGUGAUAUUUCUAUACUUUAUUUACUGUCUAAUCUGUGCUCUAAGUCCUUUUUGAAAGAUGGGAGACAGCAGUAGGGUGAGCAUUGCUUCUGAUGACUCCAUCAGUCCCAAAGCCGGUGACUUCAGAGGAAUUUAGCAAAGGGGAGUCUGGAGGAGACAUUUCAAUAGGUCACCUUUGGAGGAACUGACGUGGAGCAUUCUUUUGAUUCUGGACCCACCUCCUUUUAUUUUGUAAGGAAAAACAGAAAUGGUUGGCGAAAAAAAGAAUCCACAUAAAAAUGAUAUGUAGGGGUUUUUGAAUAAAAAUAAGUCAUAAGUAAGUAAUAAAUCCUCCGCAGGACCAUUGGAAAUGGAGAGCAAUAACCCCGUGUUUACCGCCUUACUCCCAAAGGGCAGAUAUUUAUUAUAAUUCAGAGCAAUUCAUUGUACUAGUCGGGCAUUUAUAAAAUUCUCAUCAUAGUAUUAGAGGAAGAACCCAUUUCCUAGGAAGUAUUGUGGUAAUAAACUGUAAUUAGUGGCUUGUAAACAGCCAUAAUUCAUUUCUUGAAGGAAAAGACGUGUGGGCAUUUAAGUACCUGGGUGCAAAUAGGCUCUCUGAGCAUUUGCGUCAGGCCCGGGGGCUCACGUGGAGAGCGUGGCGCGCACGCUGCCCCGGGCGGGGCUCGGUGCUGGAGGCUCCAGGCCGCCCCUCCGAGGCCGUUGGCGUCCCCCCGAUGCCAAGGGUCCAGCCCCAGCCGCAGCACAUAGUCCCCAUGCCACCCUCUGUUUUCCAGCUUGCCCGUCCCGGUGCACAGCAAGUCGGAUUCGCCAAGCGGAAGCCAGGUGGCCUACCUGGAAGAGGAAGCGAGGCAGGUGCCCACCGGCCGGGCUCACCACAACACGGUGUGAGACCUCGGGCUACAACACGGGACCCGGGCGCUGCUCCGACCCCUCGUGUCUUGUGUUGCAGCCGGAGGGACGCAGGUCCGCAGCGGAGCCCGCAACGCCGUCCCCCGCCCCCCGGACUCGAGACGGACGGCAGAAGGCCCAGCUGGGGCGAAGAUUUUAUUUUUAAGUAAUGUCUACACCAAAUGUGCGGCUUGAACUCACAACUCCGACUCCAAGAUCAAGCAUCACAUAUUCUACUGACUGAGCCAGCCAAGUGCUCCAAGGUAACUUUCUUUAACCUCACAAAAAUGCCUCCAUUUAUCCAGACCUGCCCCAGACCUCAAGCCAGGAAGAUGCCAGGGUAGUCCAUUCUCAAAGUCUGCAGAUACAGAAAACAAGGCUUUAUUUUUUUUAUUUAUUUUUUAAUUUUUUAAACAAGGCUUUAGAAAGCUCUUUAAAAAUGGCAUAAACCUAAUUUAGCAAGGAAGGUAAAGCAGGAAGGUAAGAGGACAGCCCCAAACACAGUUGUACACUGCUGUCUGUCCUCCUCCUGCUUCUGUGCCCCCACUCUUUAGUGAGCCUGUGGUAUCUGCAGACAAGGCUCCUUCCAUAGCCCAGAAAUCACCUUGCUGGGCAUCUUGCCUGGGUGUUCUGGAGGGCAAAAUGCAGUCGAUGGCCAUGAUAUCAGAUUUAGCUGUGGGUGGGGACAAGGAGGUAGCUUGCUUUUGAUGCGAGGGAGGGGACGGAAAUGCCCUCCACUGAUCUGGGUGACAAGUGAGAGGUGGGCAUUGGGAAGAAGAGGAUAACUCCAUCUGUGGUACCUGCGUUGUUGGCAGAAUGAAGGGUUGGGCAGGAUUUGCCUCCUGGGGGCAAGACGCUGGAGCUUGGGGGUUUUCCUUGCUAUGUCUUCAGCACCUAGGACAGCUCUCAGUACCGCCCUUGGAUCCUUGUAGGGAUGAAUGAGAAGAAAGCAAAAUACAACACUCUGAAGAAAACCAAGUGCAGAGAUGGUGGCUAAAGAGUGGGGCAGAGGGAGUAAAUCUCUGUGGAAGGUGGCAGGGAGACCAUGGAAGGUGUCCCCAGGGAGGAGAAAUUUAAGCUAAGUUCUGAAGAAUGAGACCUGGGAAGAGCAUUUCAGAUGGGAAGACCAGCGUGUGCAUAAACCCCAAGUCAGGAGAGGUGUGCCAUGGUGGCAGAGGAGGACAGGGUGACUGGGGCCUUGGGAGGGCACAUGGUGAACCUGGAGCAUGGAAAGGACCUAGACACAGGGCCCUUUAGACCAGGGUAAAGACCCUCUGCUUUAAUUCGGAGUACUAUGGGAAGCAUUUGGAAGGUUUAAGCAAUGGAGUAAUAAAUAUGAUUUGACUUACA
ensembl:lncRNA